rnacentral:rRNA from 1 species
GGCCAUACCACCCUGAACGUGCCCGAUCUCGUCUGACCUCGGAAGCUAAGCAGGGUCGGGCCUGGUUAGUACUUGGAUGGGAGAAAAUCACCUUUUCAAUAACUUCAGUCAAUAUUCAGGUAGGUCC